CUGACGCAUGAUAGUUGUUGUUAUUCUAUCUUUUACUUUUGUUUUUUAGAACACCCGUGAUUGUUUCAAUGUAUAUAACAAAAAUGGUUGAAGUUCGAGUGUUGAAAGAAGGCUUACUUUUAAGUGUCUGAUGGUGUUCUGGGGCCCAUAGUGGAUCUUUAAUCCAGCCAUAUAGGUAUAAACAGAAGUAAUAUACUGGAGAUGGUCUUCGCUCAAAACCGUUAACGUAUAGGUAUAUUCAAUGAUUUAUCAUAGAAUUGAUAUUUAAGCUACUCAAUGUAGAUGUACACUGUCUCGACACCUACUAAAUCUGCAGUCAUAUAUUUGUGUGGAAUACAAGUUCUUCAAUUAUUUGUAUCUGUUAUUACUUAUUAUAUUAUAUCCAACCCAAUAAUAAAAUAGCACAGAUCUCCUGAAUUGUGAGUACUUAAUAAAAUUAUUUGUGAUUGAAAAUUUUAAAUAAACCGAAAUUCCCACUAUAAUG